AAAACAUGUCCAUUUGGAGGUAUAAAUGGUCUGGCCUGCUCACUGAUAAGUAUAUUUAAGAGCCGCGGUAUUUUGACCGUGCAAAGGUAGCAUAAUCAUUAGAGGUUUAAUUGGAAUCUGGUAUGAAGGGUUGGACAAAGGAAAAGCUGUCUUUACAUUAUAAGUUGAAUUUUACUUUUAAGUGAAAAGGCUUAAAUAAGUCAAAGGGACGAUAAGACCCUAUAAAGCUUUAUAAAUUAUUUAGAUUUAAUUAAUUUAAAAUAUAAAAAUUAAUUCUACAUUAUUUUAUUUUAUUGGGGCGAUAUGAGUAUAAUUAUUAUUAACUGCUUAAAAAGGAAACAAGUUUAGGUGAAUAUAGAAUUAAAUGAUCCUUUUUAAAGAUUAGAAGACUAAGUUACUUUAGGGAUAACAGCGUUAUUUCUUUUGAGAGUCCAUAUCGAAAAAGAAGAUUGCGACCUCGAUGUUGAAUUAAAAUAUCUAUAUAAUGCAGCCGUUAUAAAAGAGGGUCUGUUCGACCUUUAAAUUUUUACAUGAUUUGAGUUCAGACCGGCGUAAGCCAGGUUU
rnacentral:rRNA from 1 species